AGUGGCGGACGGGUGAGUAACACGUGGGUAACCUACCCAUCAGAGGGGGAUAACACUUGGAAACAGGUGCUAAUACCGCAUAACAGUUUAUGCCGCAUGGCAUAAGAGUGAAAGGCGCUUUCGGGUGUCGCUGAUGGAUGGACCCGCGGUGCAUUAGCUAGUUGGCGGGGUAACGGCCCACCAAGUCGACGAUCGGUAGCCGGACUGAGAGGUUGAUCGGCCACAUUGGGACUGAGACACGGCCCAGACUCCUACGGGAGGCAGCAGUGAGGGAUAUUGGGCAAUGGGGGAAACCCUGACCCAGCAACGCCGCGUGAGGGAUGACGGUUUUCGGAUUGUAAACCUCUGUCCUCUGUGAAGAUAGUGACGGUAGCAGAGGAGGAAGCUCCGGCUAACUACGUGCCAGCAGCCGCGGUAAUACGUAGGGAGCAAGCGUUGUCCGGAUUUACUGGGUGUAAAGGGUGCGUAGGCGGAUUGGCAAGUCAGAAGUGAAAUCCAUGGGCUUAACCCAUGAACUGCUUUUGAAACUGUUAGUCUUGAGUGAAGUAGAGGUAGGCGGAAUUCCCGGUGUAGCGG
rnacentral:rRNA from 1 species